rnacentral:rRNA from 1 species
ACAAUGGUUAUUUGCAAGGACCCGAAAGAUGGUGAACUAUGCCUGUUCAGAAGGAAUCCAGGUGAAAGCCUGGUGAAAGUUCUUAGCGGUUCUGACGUGCAAAUCGAUCGUCAGAAAUGGGCAUAGGGGCGAAAGACUAAUCGAACCAUCUAGUAGCUGGUUCCACUUGAAGUUUCCCUUAGGAUAGCUGAUCAUAAUUAGAAGAGUUUAAUCCGGUAAAGCGAAUGAUUAGACGGAUUAGAGACAUAAUGUUUUUAACUUAUUCUCAAACUUUAAAUGGGUUAGAUGUCUAUGUUGCUAACUUGAACAUAGCACGCAAGAAUCAUUUGAUCAAGUGGGCCAUUUUUGGUAAGCAGAACUGGCGCUGUGGGAUGAACCAAAAGCUAGUUUAAAGUAUCAAAGUAAUAGCAAAUCAGAUUCCACGAAAGGUGUUAAUUGCUCACGACAGCAGGACGGUGGCCAUGGAAGUCGGAAUCCGCUAAGGAAUGUGUAACAACCCACCUGCCGAAGCAAUUAGCCCUGAAAAUGGAUGACGCUAUAGCUAUUCCAGAACUUAAAACUAGCUUCUAGGCUAAAUUAUCUAGCCUAUAAAGUAAAGUGGUGAUUUAACCGCAGCCAAAGAAAGAUGAGAAUCUUUCACAAGCGGUUAAGUGUACAGAUCUUGGUGGCAGUAGCAAAUAUUCCAAUGGGGUCUUGGAAGGCCGAAGUGGAGAAGGUUUUCGUGUGAACAGUUUUUGACCACGAGUGAGGCGGUCCUAAAUAAGAAAGGAAACUUAUUACAAUUUUAUGAAAGGGAAAUAGGUUUAAAUUCCUAUUCCAUAAGCGCUAGAAUUUACUCUGUAAACCUGGUAACAGGGAUUUUCAUUCGGACACAAAGCUAAACUUUAAAGAGAAUUUUCUCUUCUGAUUAAGCUAUGUAAUCCUUUAAAUAGCAUUGAGCUGAGACAAGGAUCAGCAAUAGCGCAGAGCAACACAGAUCUUGCGUUGUUUAAAGCUUUAGCCUUGUCCUUGAAAACGAAUGAAAAAUGGUUAUCUAGCCUAUGGCCGUACCCAUAUCCGCAGCAGGUCUCCAAGGUGAAAAACCUCUGGCUAAUAGAAUAAUGUAGGUAAGGGAAGUCGGCAAAUAAGCUCUGUAACUUUGGGAGAAGGAAUGGCUCUGAAAGUUGAAGUAUUUGGGCUUAAUAAUGGAAGCCGCUAUAGCAAAAGUUUGUUGAAAGCAUUCGCCUGAAAUGAACCAAGCUCUGGCUGUGAAAAUUAUUUAGCUUUAUGGUUGGAUUAUAUCUAGCCAUUCAAAUCACUGCUUAUCAACUCAUUCAGAACUGGCACAGAUUAGGGGAACCCGACUGUUUAAUUAAAACAAAGCAUUGAGAAAGUCUGAAAAGAUAUUGACUCAAUGUGAUUUCUGCCCAGUGCUCAGAAUGUCAAUUUGAAGAGGUUCAAAUAAGCGCGGGUAAACGGCGGGAGUAACUAUGACUCUCUUAAGGUAGCCAAAUGCCUCGUCAUCUAAUUAGUGACGCGCAUGAAUGGAUUAACGAGAUUCCCACUGUCCCUAUCUACUAUCUAGCGAAACCACAGCCAAGGGAACGGGCUUGGAAGAAUCAGCGGGGAAAGAAGACCCUGUUGAGCUUGACUCUAGUCUGUUGCGCAGGACGACUUGAGAGGUGUAGAAUAAGUGGGAGGGCGACCGCCAGUGAAAUACCACUACUUUCAACGUCGUCCUACUUACCCGGUCGUGCGGAGUGGUGCUUGCACCUCUUCUAGUCUUAAGCCUUCGGGCGAUCCGCGUCGGGGACACACACAGGUGGGGAGUUUGGCUGGGGCGGCACGUCUGUUAAAGAAUAACGCAGGCGCCCGAUUUUGAGCUCAAUGAGAACAGAAAUCUCAUGUGGACCGAAAGGGGAAAAGCUCGGUUGAUUUUGAUUUUCAGUACGAAUACAAACCACGAAAGUGUGGCCUAUCGAUCCUUUAGUCUUUGGGAAUUUCAAGCUAGAGGUGUCAGAAAAGUUACCACAGGGAUAACUGGCUUGUGGCUGCCAAGCGUUCAUAGCGACGUAGCUUUUUGAUCCUUCGAUGUCGGCUCUUCCUAUCACUGCCUCGCAGCGGGGGCCAAAUGCAGGAUUGUUCACCCACCAAUAGGGAACGUGAGCUGGGUUUAGACCGUCGUGAGACAGGUUAGUUUUACCC